GACGAACCGUGCGAACGUUGUUCGGAAUCACUGGGCUUAAAGGGCGCGUAGGCGGCUCCGCAAGUCGGGGGUGAAAUCUUUCGGCUUAACCGGAAAAGUGUCUCUGAUACUGCGGAGCUCGAGGGAGGUAGGGGCGGACGGAACUUCCGGUGGAGCGGUGAAAUGCGUUGAUAUCGGAAGGAACGCCGGUGGCGAAAGCGGUCCGCUGGCCCUCUACUGACGCUGAGGCGCGAAAGCCAGGGGAGCAAACGGG
rnacentral:rRNA from 1 species